rnacentral:tRNA from 1 species
GGAAGACCAUCACGCCCGGCGACGCGGCCGGGCUUCGAACCCGGUGGAGGACGACAGCCGUUCCUUACUGGGUUCGACUUCCACUGCCUUCCG